AGGAGCACCAACCCGACGAGCAUCAUUUUUGUUGGUGCAUAGAGGAGAGCUGUAGGUGAAGCCAGAGGAUCCCCCUUUGCCUGACAGGAGCUUUACAAAGGAAGGUCAGUCACCAAGUACCCAUUACGCAGGCAAAGGAAGCUGACACUCAUGCAAAGACUUUGGCAAAGGUGGAAACAAAACCUCGGGCUGUGAUCCUGCAUUAACAGCCGUCUGGAUCUGCCUGCCUGGAGCUCCUUACAGAUGAGCAGUGUGGGAGCGGACCGGUGAAGACGUAACUCCCUUUGUGCCUGCUGUUACUGCUGAUGCCCCGAAAAGCUGCCUCUGGGUGCUGCUGGUGCCACCCAGACCUCUGCCACCGCAGCACCUGGUCGCAGCAGGGCUCAACACCCACUGAUGGCUCGAGGACGAAGCAAGAGGUAACUUUUACUUGGGGAUUUCAGUGCGAGUCAAGCACUCCAGCCAGCGUGGCCCUUGUCUCGGGGUGCUGCGGGUGCCUACGCUGGCAGACAAAAGCAGGUCAGGGAACAACCCAUGCUGACCAGGCGAUGGAGCAGGAUGGCCACGGCUGCGCUGCGGAGGAUGUGAUCCCCAGGCUCCUGUGGGCCAUCUUUGUUUGCAAGGGCGAGACACAAGAGGAAGAGAUGUGGAGAAGUGUUGGAGAAGAGCAGAGGACAAACAUAGAGGAGUGGGCUGCUACAGGAACCAGCUUCACUUCUUGGCAUUGCAUUCUGCUGCAGCAUAGCUCCAGAGCACUUGCCAGAUACUGAACUGAAAGUUCCAGUCCUGCUGACCACCAUCCAUGAUGAGGAGACCCCCAGACUCCAGCAGACUCUCAGCCACUGCUCUGAUGGCAGGAGCUCUCCAGCAGCCUGGCAAAUGUAACCAGGAGCUGGCAGACAGGACAAAUUCAAAGACCUGCUGGGCUUUAAGGUACAAGGAGGGGAUGGGAAGGGAUUUAAUUUAACAGACUGAAUUUAAAGGUGAGUUUCUCCCAUGUGCUUUUUGUAGGAUGCCUGUAUCCUCUAGCUGAUCUACAGAGAUUUGUAAAUCUAUUAUUGCUUCCACAUACCCUCAGAGAAAUUUGUGCUUUAUGUUUAGUGUGUAGAAAUCUUUAGGUCCUAGGUUCCCAUUCAAGUGUUUGUCCAAUGUGAUUGGAUUACCAUUCCUUUAAGACUGGUCAUAUUCCUUUUCUUCAGAUAAAACUGUCAUGCUAGAACUUUUCUACCAUCCCUGUGUCUCCAGAGAGAAUCUUGGAGACUUUAAGGUCACUUUUCUGAAAAAUGGUCUCAAUAUAAUUCCAAAAAUACAUUAUAAUUUGGAGCCUGCUCCUCAACCUCCAGCAGAGAUCAAAGAGAUCCCAGAAAAAAUAUUAAGCACCAUGCAUUCCUAGGAGCUGAGCCUUUGGCUGAAAUGAAUCAAUCAACUAUCCUUUUAUCAGCCAUAUAUAAACUGACUUAGGGCAUUUUGGAGCCAAAGGCUACUAGUACAAGGCUGCUGGUUUAGGCUUUGUUUUCAUUAAAAAGUUUGACUCCAAAGGAAGAUCGUUGUUUUCAAACAGUAUUUUUUACAUCUUCCUGUUAUUUUCACCUUCAAGCUUGCUCAGCCAGUUGGGUAUGAAAAACUUGUUCUUGCUUCUUAGUGGCAAGAUCAUGUGUUGGUGGUAUGUAUGGGGUGCUAAUUACUAUCUGUCAUUAGUAUUUAUGGGGUUCCAAUUGCUACAGCACCCUGGUG
ensembl:lncRNA